GGUGAACCAUGCCGAGGCAAGUCGACUGAAUAUUGAAAGAAUGAAGCAGAUCUAUCAGCAGCUCUCCCGCUACAGAGGGCUAGGUCUCCUUGCCUCAGUCCCUUCUAAUCCUAAUGGGAACGGAGGGCUCAUGGGCUAUGCUCCUGGAGAGAAUGUCCCCAGCGGUGGCAGUGGUGGCGGAAACUGCUCUCAAGGAAGUGGUAUUUUACACUAUGCUCACGGAGACAGUCAGCAAACUAACCCACUAAAGCAAGGAAGAAGCUCCAUGGGCACUGGCCUCAGCAGCGGGAAGCGCCCAAGUCAGGAAGAGGACGCACAGAGUGUUGGCCCCAAAGUCCAGCGACAGAGCAGUAACUGAUACGGACACAUUUUUCCAGACAUCAUUGUUUGACCUAAUUUUGCAGUCUUUGAUAAUACUGCUUUAGAAGCUCCGUGGAAUCAGUGCGAACGCUCCUGUCUGCGUGGACAGUCUGUGUUACAGCCCGUGCAGCUGCUCUGACUCGCACUGUGCACUGUGCCCAGCCCCUUUGUCUCCCUCCUUGUUCAUUUCCAGCUACCGUGACUUUGUUAUUAAAGUAUAUGCAAAUAUGG
rnacentral:lncRNA from 1 species